UCCUUCAACCAAUUGUCAACGCGAGGCCCCGUAGGAACCUUCCAUACGUCACUUUUAUUGUAGCUGACAGUGACUGUAAUUAUGGCUUACUUAGCCCAUGCUUAUCCAGAGCUGCCUUGUUGAUCCCCGCCCUAAAAACUAUCAUCUUCAAAAGCUUCCAGGUUUGUUGUGGUCGUAGAACAGCAGACGACGAAGUUCAAAGCGGCAUUGUACCAUCGGGCAGAAUCCAAACGGUUGAUGCAUUGAAAAUGUCGGAGCUCUGUUGAUGAAUUUUCACCAGCACUCUUCCACAAGACGCGCGCGAAGCAAACGAUAGCAAAGGAGAUAUGGACUUGAAUUGGUUGUUUACCACCCGUGGCUUUCCCGCAUCCCAGGAUUAGUCUUGUACACCUUUUGCACUUGUACAGAGCGUUCGGGAACGAAAUUAGUUGUGGAUGGGUUUGCUGUUGACAAGCAAGGGAAGGAUUUUUACUACCAAACUAGAUAGGAAUGAAAUUUGUUGUGGCUGGUUUGUUUGUUGACAAGCAAGGGAAGGAUUUUUUUACCAAAGUAGACAGGAUAUUUAUUCUUAAUCCCACAAUGUCUUGGUAAUAAAUCACUACAAAUCAUGCUGAAUUAGAAUAGUAUGUUGAUCGAGGCUGGGUGCCAAAGCAAUGGAUGAUAAUUGAUUGGACUCUAAUCACUGCUGAGAUGGCCACUGAUGUGCAGUUCUUGUACUGCGAAUUCCCGGAUUGCCUUUGAAUGAUUGCCGAUGACAUCUCAAUUCUGUAGUUGGUAGAUAUCUGUUGAACAUAGUUGAAACUCA